GGAAUUUGAGAAGGAGAAUGUUAAACGUCUUCUAAAGGAGUACGACAAAAAUGGUGAUAGAAAAUUAAGCAAGAGAGAAUUGAUAGAAAUCUUCUCAUCAUGGUUUAGUGGUUUCAAGCCUGCAAUGAAUGAUCAUACUUAUAUUAACGACGAUGAAUAUUAUGGUCUUGAUGAUAAGAUUGAUGCACUUGUUAAAUGUGCUACUAAUUGGG
rnacentral:lncRNA from 1 species